UAAACCCUGCGGUGUUCGUGACUUGGCCAUACAUUCCUUGAACCAAUGCUUAUGGCAUUCAGGUUGCUGGAUUGACAAGUGGGCGUGAUCUUCGUUUACGAAGAACCCGAAGCUUGACUGAAGGCGACCACCUUGGACCUCAGGUUCCAGGAUGCCGGCCUUGACGGCACAGGCGGGGCCAUU
rnacentral:other from 1 species